CUUGUUCCUCGGAGUAUACAAUGGAAUGGAGGGUAUCGUAUUACUGCUCCAAGUCAGUUUUGACCACUUCGAUAUUAAGUUGGUCUUGCUGUCUCCAAAAUCUGAAGAUCACGAUACCAGGAUGUGUGGAAAGAAUUUCUAUUUGAGUCAGAUUAAAGAGCUGUGUGCCAAUCCUAUUUGAGGCGACUGAGAUAAUUUCUAGAGCACUCAUUUCAGCUGGAAUCACAAACAGAGUUGACACCGAUGAAUGGAAUCCAUCCACUGAUACACAUCUUCCUCGAUUGAUAACCUCUCUGGAAAUGUUGUGAUACACC